rnacentral:rRNA from 1 species
GUCGAACGGUAGAGGGGGCAACCCCUUGAGAGUGGCGAACGGGUGAGUAAUAUAUCGGAACGUGCCCAGUCGUGGGGGAUAACGUAGCGAAAGUUACGCUAAUACCGCAUACGAUCUACGGAUGAAAGCGGGGGACCUGUAAGGGCCUCGCGCGAUUGGAGCGGCCGAUAUCAGAUUAGGUAGUUGGUGGGGUAAAGGCUCACCAAGCCAACGAUCUGUAGCUGGUCUGAGAGGACGACCAGCCACACUGGAACUGAGACACGGUCCAGACUCCUACGGGAGGCAGCAGUGGGGAAUUUUGGACAAUGGACGCAAGUCUGAUCCAGCCAUUCCGCGUGCAGGAUGAAGGCCCUCGGGUUGUAAACUGCUUUUGUACGGAACGAAAAGGUCUCUCUUAAUACGGGGGGCUCAUGACGGUACCGUAAGAAUAAGCACCGGCUAACUACGUGCCAGCAGCCGCGGUAAUACGUAGGGUGCAAGCGUUAAUCGGAAUUACUGGGCGUAAAGCGUGCGCAGGCGGUUAUAUAAGACAGAUGUGAAAUCCCCGGGCUCAACCUGGGAACUGCAUUUGUGACUGUAUAGCUAGAGUACGGUAGAGGGGGAUGGAAUUCCGCGUGUAGCAGUGAAAUGCGUAGAUAUGUGGAGGAACACCGAUGGCGAAGGCAAUCCCCUGGACCUGUACUGACGCUCAUGCACGAAAGCGUGGGGAGCAAACAGGAUUAGAUACCCUGGUAGUCCACGCCCUAAACG